rfam:Picea glauca, whole genome shotgun sequence.
GUGGCUAAGGCCGAGUGGUUAAGGCUUGAGCCUGCUAAGUACAUGGGGUUUCCCCGUGAGAGUUUGAAUCUCUCAGGCGACG